GCGGCGGACGGGUGAGUAAUGCUUAGGAAUCUGCCUGGUAGUGGGGGACAACGUUUCGAAAGGAACGCUAAUACCGCAUACGUCCUACGGGAGAAAGCAGGGGACCUUCGGGCCUUGCGCUAUCAGAUGAGCCUAGGUCGGAUUAGCUAGUAGGUGAGGUAAUGGCUCACCUAGGCGACGAUCCGUAACUGGUCUGAGAGGAUGAUCAGUCACACUGGAACUGAGACACGGUCCAGACUCCUACGGGAGGCAGCAGUGGGGAAUAUUGGACAAUGGGCGAAAGCCUGAUCCAGCCAUGCCGCGUGUGUGAAGAAGGUCUUCGGAUUGUAAAGCACUUUAAGUUGGGAGGAAGGGCAGUAAGUUAAUACCUUGCUGUUUUGACGUUACCAACAGAAUAAGCACCGGCUAACUUCGUG
rnacentral:rRNA from 1 species